GCCAGACUCCUACGGGAGGCAGCAGUGGGGGAUAUUGCACAAUGGGGGAAACCCUGAUGCAGCGACGCCGCGUGAGUGAAGAAGUAUUUCGGUAUGUAAAGCUCUAUCAGCAGGGAAGAAAAUGACAGUACCUGACCAAGAAGCCCCGGCUAACUACGUGCCAGCAGCCGCGGUAAUACGUAGGGGGCAAGCGUUAUCCGGAUUUACUGGGUGUAAAGGGAGCGUAGACGGUUAUGUAAGUCUGGAGUGAAAGCCCGGGGCCCAACCCCGGGACUGCUUUGGAAACUGUGUAACUGGAGUACAGGAGGGGCAGGCGGAAUUCCUAGUGUAGCGGUGAAAUGCGUAGAUAUUAGGAGGAACACCAGUGGCGAAGGCGGCUUGCUGGACGAUGACUGACGCUGAGGCUCGAAAGCGUGGGGAGCAAACAGGAUUAGAUCCCCGAGUA
rnacentral:rRNA from 1 species